GGAUGUAGCUCAGUGGUAGAAUACUUGUCUAGCAUGUAUGAGGUCCUGAGUUUAAUCCCCAGUACCA
rnacentral:tRNA from 1 species